rnacentral:misc_RNA from 1 species
AACGCACAUUGCACUUUUUGGUAUUCCGAAAAGUAUGUCUGUCUGAGUAUCAUUUUAUAGCUCUUCUUCUUAAAAAAAGAAAAACUGUGCUCUUUUUCUGUAAGCCAACUGAAAAUAGCAUGAAAUGUUUUGUGACUAGUACUUUUAAAGAAAGUAGUUGUGUCUGAAAGACAAUGUAGUCGGAAAAAGCGAAAUAUUCAUUUAUUUUAUAUUUUGUAUUUUUUUGUUGAGCACAGUUUUUCCUCAAUCAACUAUUUUUAAAAGUAUCUACCACUCCUCUCUUCAAUGAUUAUUGGUUAAUCAUUCAAUCAUUAAUUCAUUUUUGAUCUCAGAUCAGACAAGAGUACCCGCUGAACUUAA